GUCCCAGGCCCAGGGUCCACGUUCUAACAAACGUCACUCGAUUCAGCGUCGAUGGUGUUUGGUUCUCUCUUCAUCUUCGGUCGUCAUCGUUUUCUCGCUGUUUGUUAGACAAACCGAAUGAUAUGAAAAGCCCGGAGAUAUUGAAAGGGCCAUGAAUUUGGCGAGGUCAGAAGUGCUACAAUCAUUUCAAACCUGGGACUGACAUGAGACAUGUUCAACAAAGGAAUCUGCUGGAGUGCUCCCCUUUGAAGCUCAAGGAGAAUGCCAUUCCUAAACUGAGGAAGGGAAGUGGCCUCCACCAUAUGACCAAUGUCUGCAAGGCAUCUAGCAUAUAGGCAUGUAUAUUCCCCACAGUCAUAGUCAUUGCCGCUUGAUUGCUGUGCAAUGUCAACUUUGGUGUUGCAGAAGAAACCCCACUCUUCUAUGUUGGCACCAAGCUUGCUUAGCACUGAAGCCAUUUUAUUCAUUGCUUUCUGGGUUGGGGGCUUGACAUAGUCCACUGCUCGGCUAUCCAGCACAAAAACAACUUUCAUUCGAGGUAGGACUGCAAGAAGGAACCAAUGGUUGGGGUUUGGUGUGUUGCAAGGGACAAGGAUCAGAUCGUAGGAGAGGGGAGAUUCAUACUCUUUUAGGAGUCAAGUAGAGAUAGCAGAAACCUUAACCCUUUCAGGCCGGUGAACGUCAAAUGACGUGUUGCGUUACAUAGCGUUAUCUUACGGUGAACGUCAUUUGACGUUUUCCCUAGUGACCUUCAAAAACUGACCAAUAACUCUUUACCACUUCCUUAUAUGGGAAUGCCAUGUGCUUCAGUAGAUAGAGCGUGAAAUUUCACACAACUUUCUUAUACAACUUGCGAUCAUUCGAACAAUAUCUACUGCGAUAAACCACCGUUUUUUACACUGUUUUGAACUCCAUUUUGACCAAAUGGAUUCAUGGUUUGAAGAUAUCUUCGGAGAGUCUGAUGAUGAAGAGUUUGAGGGCUUUGAAAGCCAAGAAAUUGGCGGUUCAAGCUCGGAUAGCUCUUCUGAAGACGAAGGCCACGAGAGCGAAGACAUUGAAGACGAGAUUUGUCGAGAAAUUCUUCGCCGAUCUCUAUUCCUGACUUCACUCCUAGAUGCGGCCCGAAAAACCUACCUGGAAACUUGUCUCCCCUAUCUUUCUUUGAGUUGUUUUUCAAAUCAAAGGUGAUAGAACUCAUUGUGACCGAGACUAAUAUGUAUGCGGUUCAAUGCAACACUGACGAGUUUGACGAAGAAGGAAGGAAGAAAGCUAAGGACGCGAAUUGGUUCGACAAAGAGGGAAACAUCAAACCUCUAACAAUCGAAGAACCGAAGGCGUUUCUCGGCAUCACCAUCAUGAUGGGCAUUGUUGACCUCAGCGAUCAGCAUCGCUCAUACUAUACGGUAUCCUUAAGAGGACAUGUGAAAUGGUGGAAAUAUUUAUUUUAUUUUUACAUGGACAUCUCAAUAAUCAACGCAUUGCAGCUCCAUGGCCAGAGUGCUGAAGCGAAACUUACUAACUUCGAGUUUAGACUUGCACUCGCAAAGAGCCUCAUUGGAACUUACUAGGGAAGACAGCGAGCCGGACGUCCACGCGUUCUCCCGGUUAUCGCGGAUGUCGAGCACUUUUCGGAGAAAUUGGCAGACAAGGCGAAAGCCUGUAAAAACUGUCAAUCUAAGAACAAGCGCCUAAAAGCUGGAAAUAAGGCAGUGAAACGUGCAAAGGAAACGCGAAACGGGUGCCGAAAGUGUGAUGUUCACUUGUGCGUGGGAGACUGCUUUUGUGAAUGGCACCAGCAGCGCAGAGACGACAACAAA